GCUAAGAAUCUUCCGCAAUGGGCGAAAGCCUGACGGAGCGACGCCGCGUGGACGAUGAAGGCCGGAAGGUUGUAAAGUCCUUUUCCUGGGGAGGAAUAAGGUGGGGAGGGAAUGCCCUACUGAUGACGUGAACCAGGGAAUAAGCCCCGGCUAAUUACGUGCCAGCAGCCGCGGUAACACGUAAGGGGCGAGCGUUGUUCGGAUUUAUUGGGCGUAAAGGGCGUGUAGGCGGUAGUGUAAGUCUGGUGUGAAAGGUCCCGGCUCAACCGGGAACGCGCGCUGGAAACUGUACUACUUGAGUUUAGGAGGGGGAGCUGGAAUUCCUGGUGUAGGGGUGAAAUCUGUAGAGAUCAGGAAGAACACCGGUGGCGAAGGCGAGCUCCUGGCCAUAGACUGACGCUGAGGCGCGAAAGCGUGGGGAGCGAACAGGAUUAGAAACCCCGGUAGUCC
rnacentral:rRNA from 1 species